rnacentral:lncRNA from 1 species
CCACACGUCGGCCUCCAUCUCUCACUGAACCCCUAGCCUCAGCUGGACAGGGUAACUGUGGAGGCCCCCCUUUUCCCCUGGGGGGGUCCGUGGAGCUGGAGAGAGAAUGCUUCAAAGCUGUGGAUCGGAGGAAGGCGUGGAGGAGACCGGGAAAAAGCCAAAGCAAACAGAGACCUCCCUGAACUUUCGUCAUUUGAAGAUGGGUGGGUCAUCUUCUUUAUUUAUCCCUCAAGAGAAGACAGAACAAACAGAGGAAGCU